AAUCCAUGGUUAGGACAUCUUCUAAGUAGAUUUUUAAAAUGCUCCUAAGCCUCAUACAACAUUCCUUGGUUCCAUGAUAGAAAUCGUUGAUGUCACUUUUAAGCUU